CACAUAGCGGGAGCGCGGAAGAUAGUCCCCCUGUAGCAAAAAUUACGGGGGGUAGGGCUCUCGCCCCGAGCAUAUCGCCGGGUCACCCUGCUUUUUGAGCACCAUUCGUUUCCUCGGCGGGCCUGCCCGCCAACGGGGACCCCCAAAAACCUCUGUAAUGAGCAGUACCUGUCAGUAAUAAAAAAAUUUAUCA
rnacentral:misc_RNA from 1 species